CCUGAACCUUCGGUGCCUCAGUUUCCUACACCUCUCAUGAAAUUGCUGGGCGAGUUAAAUGAGUGAACAGGAGCUUGGAAUUGAGCCUGGCAGUGGAGAAAGUGCUGGGUGUUGGCAGAGCACACCACCAAGGCUGGCUGAGUGAGUGGGUGGCUGCAGAUCUACGCCCUGGGGACCCUGUGUGACGAGGCAGGCCCCGGGCCGACUCUCGUGGAAACCACUGCUGUGUGCAAGUAGACAGUUAUUGUGACCCCGUGGACUGUAGCCACCAGGCUCCUCUGUCCGUGGGACUCUCCACGCGAGGAUCCUGGAGCGGGUUGCCAUUGCCUCUCCAGGGUUAGCAAGUCAGCCAGUCUAUAAAUAAGAUAACUAAGGACCACAGGAUGUGCUGGGAAGGGAAGAAGCGGACGGCGUGGGCGAGCCUGGCCUCAGCAAUGCGCAUUUGUCGUCCUCGCUCUUGGGCCAGGUUGGCAGCAGAUCACGGUAACCCCCACCUGCUGAUACCUAGUAUGUGCCAGAUGCCUGGUGGCAAGAGUGCCCGCCUCUCACCAGUGAUGCCCAGGAAUAGCCCCAUUGGACAGAUGAGGAGACUGAGGCCCAAGGGGAGGAAGGAUCUGUCCAGGUCACAUGGCUAGAGAAUGGACCCUGGGGUUUGGCUCCGGCCUGGCCUCAUUUCAAAUGUGGGCAGUCUGCCCCUGACACAGUGGGGACCCUGGUGGGCUGCAGGGUCAGGGAGUGAAAGCGCUGAGACCCUUCAAGGACCCUCAGGAGCAAUUUCAUCUCAGAGCAUCAGCUUAGACAGUGGAACAAACAUUAUCUGCUGGUUCCUGCAUCCUCCUUACAUCUCAGUGACCGGGAGGGCCUGGGGUGACCCCGCCUGUUCUGUGGAUGUGGAAAUGCGGACUUUGUGUGGGGUGCUGGGGCCACAUGGCCAGGCCAUGACAGAAGAGCCCUCCACGUGUGGCCUAGGACCCUCCCUUCCGCUCAGCCGCCCCUGCACCCUUGGCAGGGGCUUCUCCCACUCCAAGGGGCUGGAGCCCAGACCUGGCUGUUUGCUCUCCAACCCCGGUCGGGUUCCAGGUCUGGAACUCUGGGUGCAGAUGCCGAUAAAGCCACUUGAGACACUUUAAGUCUCUAUUGACAUGUAGGUGGGAGCGGCUUGCUGGAACCCUUGUCUCUCAAGGUUCAGAGAGAAAUAAAAAUAGAUGGGGGACAGGGAAAGCUACCAUCUCCUUCCUGUUGUCAAGCUCCCAAUCCAUCAUGCUGCCACCCGGCUCCAAAGGGCUGCUGGCUGCAGGGGCACCUGUCCAGGGCUGUGUGCAGGUUGCGGAAGUGAUGGAAGGGCUGGCUCCCGCCUCGACUGGAAGUGGUCUUGGGGGGGUCCAUCAGCAGCUUCCAUUUGCAGAGGUGGAGAAAACGCUCAGCACUGGCCUCUGAAGCAUCUGUUGGCAACUUCCCACCUGCAUGUCAAGAGACCCUCAGAGGCACAGGAGCUUGCCUAGUCU
ensembl:lncRNA